ACACUCAGCAGUCUGUCUGUGUGUGUAUUUAGCAGUCUAUGUGUGUACUUAGCAGACUGCUAAGUACACAGACAGACUGCUAAAUACACAGACAGACUGCUA